UACGUAGGUGGCAAGCGUUGUCCGGAUUUAUUGGGUUUAAAGGGUGCGUAGGCGGCCCUGUAAGUCAGUUGUGAAAUACGGCAGCUUAACUGUCGAGGUGCAAUUGAUACUGCAGGGCUUGAGUACUGAUGAGGUAGGCGGAAUGGACGGUGUAGCGGUGAAAUGCUUAGAGAUCGUCCAGAACACCGAUAGCGAAGGCAGCUUACUAAGGAGUAAACUGACGCUGAGGCACGAAAGCGUGGGGAGCGAACAGG
rnacentral:rRNA from 1 species